AAAGAAUCAAGAUGGUGGUUGGUCUGGUCACACGAACUGCUUCCCAAGCUGGGAGAACGGCUUCUCGCCAAAUCGCUCGCAGGAAGGCGUCCAGUCAAGUGUACAAAGAGCCAGAGAAAUACAAUCUACCAGAUGUUGACGAUACGUUCCUGAACCCACACAAAUUCUGGCCCUUUGCAUGGGAUAAGCAGGCACCAUUCACCCUGAAGUACGCCCUGUUUUGCUGUACAGGAUUCAGUUGGCCAUACUUUGUUGUAUACUACCACAUGGUCUUAAAAGAGUAAUAUAAUGCAGUCCAGCCAGCCGAGGUGGAGAAAGGAAGAGGACGCAGUUCUGUUUAUCACAUCUUGUUAAUAUGACUCUGUAUUGUAUGAAAGUUGAUAGAAAUUAAAAACAAACCUUAUGGUCGAUCAC
rnacentral:sRNA from 1 species